AACACAUGCAAGUCGAGGGGCGAGCACAAGGAGCAAUCUGAGGUGGCGACCGGCGGCACGGGUGAGUAACACGUAUGCAACCUGCCUGUAAGCGGGGAAUAACCCGUUGAAAGACGGACUAAUACCGCAUAAUACUAAAUUACUGCAUGGUAAUUUAUUUAAACAUUUAUGGCUUACAGAUGGGCAUGCGCAUGAUUAGCUAGUUGGAGAGGUAACGGCUCCCCAAGGCAACGAUCAUUAGGGGUUCUGAGAGGAAGGUCCCCCACACUGGUACUGAGACACGGACCAGACUCCUACGGGAGGCAGCAGUGAGGAAUAUUGGUCAAUGGACGAGAGUCUGAACCAGCCAAGUCGCGUGCAGGAAGAAUGUCCUAUGGAUUGUAAACUGCUUUUGCAGGGGAAUAAAGUGCAUCACGUGUGAUGUUUUGUAUGUACUCUGCGAAUAAGGAUCGGCUAACUCCGUGCCAGCAGCAGC
rnacentral:rRNA from 1 species